rnacentral:rRNA from 1 species
AUGUUGAUGUACUCUACGCAACAAUGGGUAUGUAUUUACUCAUGGAGGUGGCGCGGUGUCAUGGAGAUCUUGCAAACAACCAUAUUGACGAGGUCAACUAUGGAAGCAGAACUAACUGCUUUAGACACAGCCAUUGUUGAGGCAGAAUGGUUGCGUGAGCUCUUGAUGGACUUGCCUGUGGUUGAAAAACAUGUACCGGCUAUUCUUGUGAAUUGUGACAACCAAACGGUUAUCGCUAAAGUGAACAAUUCUAAGGAUAAUGUGAAGUCAACAAGACAUGUGAAGAGACGUUUAAAGUCUGUCAAGAAGUUGAGAAACUCCGGAGUAAUAAUUGUUACAUAUACUCAAACAGACAAAAACCUGGUAGAUCCCUUACAAAGGGACUAUCACGAAAUGUGGUAG